CGCGCGUCGGCGGUGGAGUGGGAACCAGCGCCGUCGAGUUGGGGGAGCUUCUGGCGGGUGGAUCCGACAACUCCCCGGGAGGCGGACGCAGGCGGACGGGCGGGUACUGGGAGCUGAGCGGCAAGCAGUCCCCGCGGGUCUGUGAAGGAGGUCGGUGGCUUCAGCGGGCGCCAGGCAGCUGUGAGAAAAAAUAGAAAUCACUUUUGACUGUACUGAAUAGCAAAAAUUAAGUGAUUUACUCUACUCCACACCAUGGCACUAUCAUUCCGGAAGGACUUAGAAAAGUACAAGGACCUCGAUGAAGAUGAACUCCUUGGGAAUCUAUCAGAAGUAGAGCUGAAACAACUAGAAACUGUUCUGGAUGAUCUUGACCCUGAGAAUGCCCUUCUGCCUGCAGGGUUCCGGCAGAAGAACCAGACAUCAAAGUCUGCCACAGGGCCAUUCGAUAGAGAACACCUCCUUUCAUACCUGGAGAAGGAAGCUUUGGAGCAUAAGGACAGGGAAGACUAUGUGCCCUACACUGGAGAAAAAAAAGGGAAAAUAUUUAUCCCUAAGCAGAAACCUGUACAGACUUUUACAGAAGAAAAAGUAUCUCUUGAUCCAGAGUUAGAAGAAGCUUUGACAAGUGCUUCUGACACAGAAUUGUGUGACCUCGCAGCUAUUCUUGGGAUGCACAAUUUGAUAACGAAUACACAGUUCUGCAAUAUAGUGGGAAGUAGUAAUGGUGUUGACCAAGAACAUUUUUCAAAUGUGGUAAAAGGUGAAAAGAUCCUUCCAGUACUUGAUGAGCCCCCAAAUCCAACCAACGUUGAAGAGAGUUUAAAGAGAAUUAAAGAAGAUGAUGUUCGUCUUGUUGAAGUUAAUUUGAACAAUAUAAAGAAUAUCCCAAUUCCAACCUUAAAGGAUUUUGCAAAGGCUUUGGAAACCAACACCCAUGUGAAAUAUUUCAGUCUUGCGGCCACCCGAAGCAAUGACCCCGUUGCAGCUGCUUUUGCAGAUAUGCUAAGAGUGAACAAAAAUUUGAAGAGCUUAAAUAUGGAGUCCAACUUUAUUACAGGAGCUGGGAUUCUAGCACUGAUGGAUGCUCUGAGAGAUAAUGAAACCCUGGCUGAGCUCAAGAUUGACAAUCAGAGGCAGCAGUUGGGGACAGCUGUAGAAUUGGAAAUGGCCAAGAUGCUUGAGGAAAAUACCAAUAUCCUUAAAUUUGGAUAUCAGUUUACUCAGCAGGGACCUCGAACCAGGGCAGCUAAUGCUAUAACAAAAAAUAAUGACUUAGUCUCAACUUUUCAUUGAAAUAAUCCUACCUCCUGGCCUUCUCUCCAGCUACGAAGUAUCAGAGCUAAAGCAAAGAGGUUACAUGGUUUCGCAAGAGGCGAGUUGAAGGAGACCACCAGUAAGUCCACCAGGUAUAAUCUCUGGGAGACUUUGAAGCUCACCAAGGCCUCCUGUUGUGAUGUCAGAUAAUAACAUUUUCCUGGGUAGAAGGGAAAAGACUGGAAAUCUUUUUUUUUUUUUUUUUAACUACAUGUAUCUUUUCUAGUUUAAGUUGUUACCAGUUUUAAAUUGUAAAAUCAAUAGUAGAUAUUUUGUAUUCUAAAGCAGUAUUUCUACUUUCUACUAAAAUCAGUUUUAAUUUAGCUUAAUUAAAUGGUUUAUGUUAAGUCGGGUUAAAAAAAACACAAUUGUACAAAGUUUAGAAAGUCAUUUAUGUAUUAUGAACAUUUUUAAGAAACAAUAUUUUUUAAGUCAAAAAGGGACAUUGCCGAUGUCAGAAUUGCUGUUGCACCUCUUAGGUACAAGGCACAUCAAAACUUUCCUUAUUCAUGGCAUGGACACUUUUUCCAUGGUUCAGAACACAUAAACUUGGCAAGACUGUGUCUUUUGUUACUAGCAAAGCAAACGCCAGCAUUUUAAAACAGGUGACUCAAAAUCUAGUCAUCUGUUUUGGAGCCAAAGCCGAUCUCUGGGAGAGAGGAUGCGGUGCAUCCCAUGUCCCUGCUCCUGCACCUGCCUGAGGGCCUCAGCCACACCUACAGUUGUUUUCAGCAGUCAUCAGCUUGGUCAGGUUACACACUUUGCUUAAAAGCACAGCUAUGUCUACAUUCAUUACAGUUUUUCUUUUUAAUCAUGUGGGCAUUAUUUUUGUGAAAGCUCAGAGUAAUUAACAAAAUUAUUAGAGCAGGAAAACUAUUUUCUUCCCUAUAAGAGGCAUGCAGCCAACUCUGCGUUAUUUGGGGUAAAAGAAAAAAGAAAGCUAUUGUUAAACACAUGAAAUCAAAGGUAAUAAAUGGUGGAGUUUAAGUCUGAGGAGCAUGCAGAAUGGUCAUUUAAAUUGAUAGUCACUGUAAAGUAAUUAAGAAACCAGCCUGGGUAUAAGUUGAGAGUUGCACAGGAGAGUGAGACGUUCCCAUAUGCAGUGCAGAAUUGCCUGAGUGGUGUGUAAUCGCCAAUUAUCCAGAUUUUCUAACCAAUAAGGAAAAUGGCUGUUCUUGAUAAAUCUAAUUUUUAUUAUCUCUUUCCUUUGAUCUUGUACUUUUUGGUCCACAUCUAUAGAAGUAAUUUUUCGUAACACCAGUUGUCUGCUCUUGCUCAAAGUAUUAGAGUGAACAGUUGAACAGUGUACUAGGGUGGGAAGACUGACUCCACAUCCAAUAGUGUGAUGUACAAGUUGGACCUGUAUUCACACCCUGUUUCAGGGCAGCCUCUGGAGCAGGAGGUGGCUGAGGCGUUAUAGCUACAAAAGAUGGGACAAAGAAAUCAGCAGUUGUGGCCUAACAAUGCAGGCCUGGCUGUAUCACUUAUAGGGAGAUUUUUCCUAAAGGGAAGAAUCUCAUUUCAAUAUCCAGGGUGGGGAGGGGGAGGGCUGUUAAUUUUUUAAGAAAUUUUUAUAAUUGAAGUAUAAAAUGUCUGCUCCUUUGGCUUGGGCUGGACUGUUUACCUAAUGAGCUAGGCAGCUCCUUGUGUACUAUUGUAAUAAGCCUUCUUAGCAGGCAAAAGCUUUCCUCAUGAGAACUGAGUGUGUGUCUUUUUGAAUCAGUAUCCAAUGUUUUAAAGGGGCUGAAAAAUGACUUUGCACUAUUCUGGUGCUCCCUUUCAGUUAUAGGGUGCUGGGCUUUUAUUUUAUUUUUUUCAAGUAAGCAGGUCAAGCUCACUCUUCCUCACUCUCCCCCACCCCCUUGUCAUAAGCGAAUUUGGAAAUGAACUUGAUUUUAGAGACUACACAGUUCCAGCAGGGUGGGGCCUCAGCAUGGCCAGGUAUGCAGAACUACUAGUCCACUUUCAGCAAGGUCUCCUUGCUUGCCUUGACCUAUUAGUCAAUACAUUACCCUUUCCUUCCCAAAGUUUUUUUAAUACAGGUUAGGUGGGACCCUCCCUAGAAUUGUGUUAUCAUACUUACGAGUAAUGUCUUUUUCACUUAUUAUUUAUCAAAGUGUGAUAAAAGUUGAGUGUUUUGCUUGUACCAUUCCAAUUCUGAGCUACAACAGUUAAUUAUAUAAUUGAAGAAAAGAUUUCUUAAUAAAUAAGCAUGAACAUUCAUCUGAUUGAGUACAGAAAAUCUUUCAAGAGUUGUAAUUAGAAGGGAGAAAACUGGGUGUUUACUUUGAUCUUUAAAAAUCUGGCACCUUUUACCCUUUUAAUAACUUUCAGUAUUUCUAUACUGCUCUAAAAUUUUAUAAUAGAUUAAGGUUGUGAAAUACUCCUGACUUUUUUAAACCAAAGAUUUUCUAAUAAUUUAAGUUUUUGUAGUCUAAGCAAUAUAAACAUAUCUGGUUAUCUAAACAAAGAAUAUUCUUUGCAUUUUUAAAUUUGUUUUUUUAAAAGCUUUCAAUUUCGGAGUUCCCGUCGUGGUGCAGUGGUUAAUGAAU